rnacentral:rRNA from 1 species
ACGAACGCUGGCGGCGUGCUUAACACUUGCAAGUCGCACGGAAAGGCCCUGCUUUUGUGGGGUGCUCGAGUGGCGAACGGGUGAGUAACACGUGAGUAACCUGCCCUUGACUUUGGGAUAACUUCAGGAAACUGGGGCUAAUACCGGAUAGGAGCUCCUGCUGCAUGGUGGGGGUUGGAAAGUUUCGGCGGUUGGGGAUGGACUCGCGGCUUAUCAGCUUGUUGGUGGGGUAGUGGCUUACCAAGGCUUUGACGGGUAGCCGGCCUGAGAGGGUGACCGGCCACAUUGGGACUGAGAUACGGCCCAGACUCCUAAGGGAGGCAGCAGUGGGGAAUAUUGCACAAUGGGCGGAAGCCUGAUGCAGCAACGACGCGUGCGGGAUGACGGCCUUCGGGUUGUAAACCGCUUUCGCCUGUGACGAAGCGUGAGUGACGGUAAUGGGUAAAGAAGCACCGGCUAACUACGUG